rnacentral:rRNA from 1 species
AUUGAACGCUGGCGGCAGGCUUAACACAUGCAAGUCGAGCGGAGAUGAGGUGCUUGCACCUUAUCUUAGCGGCGGACGGGUGAGUAAUGCUUAGGAAUCUGCCUAUUAGUGGGGGACAACAUUCCGAAAGGAAUGCUAAUACCGCAUACGUCCUACGGGAGAAAGCAGGGGACCUUCGGGCCUUGCGCUAAUAGAUGAGCCUAAGUCGGAUUAGCUAGUUGGUGGGGUAAAGGCCUACAAAGGCGACGAUCUGUAGCGGGGCUGAGAGGAUGCUCGGCGACACUGGGACUGCGACACGGCCCAGACUCCUACGGCAGGCAGCAGUGGGGAAUAUUGGACAAUGGGCGGAAGCCUGAUCCAGCCAGGCCGCGUGUGUGAAGAACGUCUUUUGGUUGUAAAGCACUUUAAGCGAGGAGGAGGCUACUUAGAUUAAUACUCUAGGAUAGUGGACGUUACUCGCAGAAUAAGCACCGGCUAACUCUGUGCCAGCAGCCGCAGUAACAC